AACGGUAACAGGAAGAAGCUUGCUUCUUUGCUGACGAGUGGCGGACGGGUGAGUAAUGUCUGGGAAACUGCCCGAUGGAGGGGGAUAACUACUGGAAACGGUAGCUAAUACCGCAUAACGUCGCAAGACCAAAGAGGGGGACCUUCGGGCCUCUUGCCAUCGGAUGUGCCCAGAUGGGAUUAGCUUGUUGGUGAGGUAACGGCUCACCAAGGCGACGAUCCCUAGCUGGUCUGAGAGGAUGACCAGCCACACUGGAACUGAGACACGGUCCAGACUCCUACGGGAGGCAGCAGUGGGGAAUAUUGCACAAUGGGCGCAAGCCUGAUGCAGCCAUGCCGCGUGUAUGAAGAAGGCCUUCGGGUUGUAAAGUACUUUCAGCGGGGAGGAAGGGAGUAAAGUUAAUACCUUUGCUCAUUGACGUUACCCGCAGAAGAAGCACCGGCUAACUCCGUGCCAGCAGCCGCGGUAAUACGGAGGGUGCAAGCGUUAAUCGGAAUUACUGGGC
rnacentral:rRNA from 1 species